rnacentral:rRNA from 1 species
GCGUUGUCCGGAUUUAUUGGGCGUAAAGAGCGUGUAGGCGGUUUGGUAGGUCCGCUGUGAAAACUCGAGGCUCAACCUCGAGACGCCGGUGGAAACCAUCAGACUAGAGUCCGGAAGAGGAGAGUGGAAUUCCUGGUGUAGCGGUGAAAUGCGCAGAUAUCAGGAAGAACACCCGUGGCUAAGGCGGCUCUCUAGUACGGUACUGACGCUGAGACGCGAAAGCGUGGGGAGCGAACAGG